rnacentral:rRNA from 1 species
AACGGUAGCUAAUACCGCAUAACGUCGCAAGACCAAAGAGGGGGACCUUCGGGCCUCUUGCCAUCGGAUGUGCCCAGAUGGGAUUAGCUAGUAGGUGGGGUAACGGCUCACCUAGGCGACGAUCCCUAGCUGGUCUGAGAGGAUGACCAGCCACACUGGAACUGAGACACGGUCCAGACUCCUACGGGAGGCAGCAGUGGGGAAUAUUGCACAAUGGGCGCAAGCCUGAUGCAGCCAUGCCGCGUGUAUGAAGAAGGCCUUCGGGUUGUAAAGUACUUUCAGCGGGGAGGAAGGGAGUAAAGUUAAUAC